rnacentral:rRNA from 1 species
CCUACGGGCGGCAGCAGUCGAGAAUCAUUCACAAUGGGGGAAACCCUGAUGGUGCGACGCCGCGUGGGGGAAUGAAGGUCUUCGGAUUGUAAACCCCUGUCAUGUGGGAGCAAAUUAAAAAGAUAGUACCACAAGAGGAAGAGACGGCUAACUCUGUGCCAGCAGCCGCGGUACUACAGAGGUCUCAAGCGUUGUUCGGCAGCACUGGGCGUAAAGCGUGCGUAGGCUGUUUCGUAAGUCGUGUGUGAAAGGCGCGUGCUCAACCCGCGGACGGCACAUGAUACUGCGAGACUAGAGUAAUGGAGGGGGAACCGGAAUUCUCGGUGUAGCAGGGAAAUGCGUAGAUAUCGAGAGGAACACUCGUGGCGAAGGCGGGUUCCUGGACAUUAACUGACGCUGAGGCACGAAGGCCAGGGGAGCGAAAGGGAUUAGAGACCCCAGUAGUC